ensembl:ncRNA R07D5.5 ncRNA
UUUUUCACUCAUUUCUACAAAAUUUAAGCAUAUGUGUUUGACAUGAAAAGAUGAUACAUGAAAUGUUGUGCAACAAUAAAAAUUGGAAGAAGUCUAUGGGGCAAUGAGGAUGAAAUGGAAAAUAAGGGCAAGAAACAUA